rnacentral:rRNA from 1 species
ACUGCUCAGUAACACGUGGAUAACCUGCCCUUGGGUCCGGCAUAACCCCGGGAAACUGGGGAUAAUUCCGGAUAACGCACAUAUGCCGGAAUGCUUUAUGCGUAAAAUGGAUUCGUCUGCCCAAGGGUGGAUCUGCGGCCUAUCAGGUAGUAGUGGGUGUAAUGUACCUACUAGCCAACAACGGGUACGGGUUGUGAGAGCAAGAGCCCGGAGAUGGAUUCUGAGACAUGAAUCCAGGCCCUACGGGGCGCAGCAGGCGCGAAAACUUUACAAUGCGGGAAACCGUGAUAAGGGGACACCGAGUGCCAGCAUCAUAUGCUGGCUGUCCGGGUGUGUAAAAUACACCCGUUAGCAAGGGCCGGGCAAGACCGGUGCCAGCCGCCGCGGUAACACCGGCGGCCCGAGUGGUGAUCGUGAUUAUUGGGUCUAAAGGGUCCGUAGCCGGUUUGGUCAGUCCUCCGGGAAAUCUGACGGCUCAACCGUUAGGCUUUCGGGGGAUACUGCCAGGCUUGGAACCGGGAGAGGUAAGAGGUACUACAGGGGUAGGAGUGAAAUCUUGUAAUCCCUGCGAGACCACCUGUGGCGAAGGCGUCUUACCAGAACGGGUUCGACGGUGAGGGACGAAAGCUGGGGGCACGAACCGGAUUAGAUACCCGGGUAGUCCCAGCCGUAAACGAUGCUCGCUAGGUGUCAGGCAUGGCGCGACCGUGUCUGGUGCCGCAGGGAAGCCGUGAAGCGAGCCACCUGGGAAGUACGGCCGCAAGGCUGAAACUUAAAGGAAUUGGCGGGGGAGCAC